rnacentral:rRNA from 1 species
UACGUAGGGUGCGAGCGUUAAUCGGAAUUACUGGGCGUAAAGCGUGCGCAGGCGGCUUUGCAAGACAGAUGUGAAAUCCCCGGGCUUAACCUGGGAACUGCAUUUGUGACUGCAUGGCUGGAGUGCGGCAGAGGGGGAUGGAAUUCCGCGUGUAGCAGUGAAAUGCGUAGAUAUCAGGGGGAACACCGAUGGCGAAGGCAGGUCUCUGGGCUGACACUGACGCUCAUGCACGAAAGCGUGGGGAGCAAACAGG